GACGAACGCUGGCGGCGUGCUUAACACAUGCAAGUCGAACGAUGAAGCUGGAGCUUGCUCCGGUGGAUUAGUGGCGAACGGGUGAGUAACACGUGAGCAAUCUGCCCUUGACUCUGGGAUAACUGCGGGAAACUGUAGCUAAUACCGGAUAUGAGAUCUGAAGGCAUCUUCGGGUUUGGAAAGAAUUUCGGUCAAGGAUGAGCUCGCGGCCUAUCAGCUAGUUGGUGAGGUAAUGGCUCACCAAGGCGACGACGGGUAGCCGGCCUGAGAGGGUGACCGGCCACACGGGAACUGAGACACGGUCCAGACUCCUACGGGAGGCAGCAGUGGGGAAUAUUGCACAAUGGGCGAAAGCCUGAUGCAGCAACGCCGCGUGAGGGAUGAAGGCCUUCGGGUUGUAAACCUCUUUUAGCAGGGAAGAAGCGAAAGUGACGGUACCUGCAGAAAAAGCACCGGCUAACUACGUGCCAGCCGCCGCAGUAA
rnacentral:rRNA from 1 species